rnacentral:rRNA from 1 species
UACGUAGGGGGCAAGCGUUAUCCGGAUUCACUGGGUGUAAAGGGAGCGUAGACGGCGAGACAAGUCUGGAGUGAAAGGCCGGGGCCCAACCCCGGGACUGCUCUGGAAACUGCCUGGCUGGAGUACAGGAGAGGUAAGUGGAAUUCCUAGUGUAGCGGUGAAAUGCGUAGAUAUUAGGAGGAACACCAGUGGCGAAGGCGGCUUACUGGACUGUAACUGACGUUGAGGCUCGAAAGCGUGGGGAGCAAACAGG